GACGAACGCUGGCGGCGUGCCUAACACAUGCAAGUCGAGCGAACAGACCAGGCGCUUUCGCCUCCGACUUUGUCGCCCGACGGGUGCUUCACUUGUGUACAACCUACCUAUCAGACUGUGAUAGCUUCGCGAAACCGGAUCUUAUGCCGCAUAAUAUAUUGCCCCGCAUGGUUCACUAGUGCAAGACGGUUUUUCUUUCUCUUAUAGCUUCCUCCGCGCCGCAUGAGCUAGUUGGUGAGGUGACGGCUUACCAAGGCAACGACUCGUAGCCGACCUGAGCGCGAGGUCGGACACACUGGAAGAGAGACGCGGUCGAGACGCCUACGGGAGGCAGCGGUAGGGAAUCUUACGCAAUGGGCGAAAGGCUGACGGAGGAAAGCCGCGGGAGUGAUGAAGGAGUUCGGAUCGGAAAACGCUGUAGUUAGGAGAGAACAAAAGUGCAAGUAACUAUGAAGAUAUUGACGGUACCUAAACAAAAAGCCACGGCUAACUCCGUG
rnacentral:rRNA from 1 species